AAUUGUUCUAUAAUGGAUAUAUUAUUCUGGUUUUUUACGGGAACAAUUUGUAGAACGCUAAGUAGGCGACAGAAACAAAGAUCGUGCCAUUUCCUCGCUGGAAAUAUUCGUAGACUCGGCUACGUAGUUCGAUGUACACGCCCAUAGAGGCGUUAGUAGAUUUUAUUAUAAGUGCGGACAUGUCUACUCUCAAACUUUCUUUAGUUCAUGAAACAUAACCUCGCUGUAACAUAUUACUGAACAUAUGUAAACAAAACAACGACAUUCUCUGAUGCAUCAAUUACAAAAAGGGGAUAAGAAAGGCAAAAGGAAGAAGGUAAAGUUUCCAACGGAAUGAUGAAUUAGUCAAUAAAUAAGAGAAGCAGAAAAGAAUGGCGAAAGGAGAAGCUGAAGAAGGCAAGGAAGGCUGGCAUGUUUCAACCAUCAUCGACAAAGAGUGUAAGAACGUCAAUCCACAUAUUCCUCAGUACAUCAGCUUGGAACGGUGGUAUUUCAUUGCCCAGACUCCCACCUUGAAACACCAGAGAUAACAGUCCAAGAAACAGAAGCAAUACAGUUCCAUAAAUAUCUAGUACAAUCGUGGAUCCUAUCUGAGUGAAAGCCAAGUAGUCAAGCCAUUGGAGAAUCAGGAAAGAAAACUACAAAGGCAAUUGAUAACGCUCAAGAUAAAGUAUCAUUCACUAGAAAAGAGACGGACAUUAAUAGCGUUUUCUCUUGGCUGCACUAUUGCCCACUAGUGCAACACUCAGAUAGUGUACCAUGUUUCUAUGGCUACGGUGUAAUGCAAAUUUUAUACACAAAGUGAGAUUUUGCUACACUGUCUCAAAGGGAUGGUGUAGAGCCAGUGUGACGUUUAAAAUUUGAAAAUGGAAGUCAAGCGAAAACAGGGUUUUAGCGUAAUAAUGAUGUAAUGUACACCACAGUGUGUACCACUCUGGUGUAGUGUAGCCGAGUGUAGCGCUUACACGCAACUGGUGUGGUGCGAGGCUGCACCCACUGUAUCCCAUAAGAGAAAACACUACAAGUCAGAUAUGUCAGACAGUAAUCAUUCUACAAAUAAAUCUUCGUCUGACGAUGGCUGGGAAAGAUCAAACAAAGAAGAAACGAAAAUUCAAGAAACAAAAACGGAAGAAAAA